rnacentral:lncRNA from 1 species
UUCGCGGCUGGGCGCCUCGCGCCUGUCCCGCCCGACUCGUGCCUCUUCUGAGCCGCAGCCCCAGCCCCAGCCCCAAUCUCAAUCUCUCCGGCCGGCAGAGGUUGGAAGACAGGAAGCCGAUUAGAAAGGAAGGUGAAGGAAACAAGAGUCAGACAGCGGAAAGUGGGAGCAAAGGGAGAAGAAAAUGAAGCUUCCUACUUCACGACAAAAAAAACGACUUUCAGAAGUACCAAUCUGCAACAGCUUGAAAAUUUGAAAACCUGAUCCUUCACCACAGGUGCUUUUGCUUGCAAGGUCAAAAUCAGAAGUUCAGGAAGAUCACCUGAAUCCAGAGCUUUUGAUUUCAGAAGCCUAGGUUCAUUGAGGAAAAGUAUGCUGACUUGUCCCAGAGGGUUAACAAGUGAAUGCUUUUGAGUAGAGGUGGGAGAAGCUGUCUGACAUAGAAGUUGAGCUUCUCCGGGACAAGAGAGGAGACGGGAGUAAUGGUAGAUUCCAUGAGCAUCAAGGACUACUUUUGCUGCCUUUUAGUGUGCUAAAGAAGAUACAAGAUCUCAAGAGAGAAUGGAGACAUGGUACACUUAAGAAAGUCUGAAUACUAGUCCGUGAGGAUGCCAGCUUCAGCCAAAACACCCUGCUAUCACCACCAAUGUGCAAGAGUGGCACAGAAGCAGCUACCCCGUCUAACUUUAAGGGGAUUUGCCUGACAAACAUAUCAACAAUGUUGGGUAUGCACAAAAGGGCAUAGGACCUACACUGAAAGUUGUGUUCUGGGUAUCAUUUGCUAGGGUCUUCAUACAACCUUGACAGAAGGAGGUAAAAACCAUGAGGGAGAUUGAAUUUUUAGCCAGCUGGAAAGGUGAAAGGCUCAGAGCAGAUUGAAUUUUGUUGUAGGGAUAUAAAGAAAUGUGACAUUUUUUGCCAGUUGUUAGAAUGGCGAUCAUUAAAAAGUCAGGAAACAACAGAUGCUGGAGAGGAUGUGGAGAAAUAGGGACGCUUUUAU